UGGCUUGGAAGCAGCCAUUCAUUUAAAGAGUGCGUAACAGCUCACUAGUCGAGCGAUCUGGCGUGGAUAAUAAUCGGGCAUAAACGAUCUGCCGAAGCCGUGGAUGUCGCAAGACAUGGUAGGGGAGCAUUCCAUGCCGCGUCGAAGAUGAGGGAUGACCCUUGUUGGAGCGCAUGGAAAAGCAAAUGUAGGUAUGAGUAACGAUAAGGGGGGCGAGAAACCCCCCCGCCGAAAGACCAAGGUUUCCUGAUCAACGCUAAUCGGAUCAGGGUGAGUCGGGACCUAAGGCAAAGCCGAACGGCGCCGCCGAUGGAAGAAUGGGUUAAUAUUCCCAUACUGCCUCAUGGAGUGACGUGGAGACGGAGAAGUGACAGUCCUGCCGGCUGACGGAAUAGCCGGUUGAAGGGUGUAGAUAUUGAUUCCCGUAGGCAAAUCCGCGGGGAGAGUCGAACCUGAGAGUAUACGGAGCGCUUGCGCAACGUAAUAUGGACGUAACCAUGCUCCCGAGAAAAUCCGCUAAACUUAUCCAUGCGGCACCCGUACCGUAAACGGACACACGUGGUCGGGUUGAGAAUACUGAGGCGCUCGAGUGAUUCACGGUUAAGGAACUAGGCAAAUUGACCCUGUAACUUCGGGAUAAAGGGUCCCAACGAGAGUUGGGCGCAGAGAAUAGGUCCAGGCAACUGUUUAACAAAAACACAGGGCUGUGCAAAAUUGAAAGAUGAAGUAUACAGCCUGACACCUGCCCGGUGCUGGAAGGUUAAGAGGAGAUGUCAUCGCAAGAGAAGCAUUGAAUUGAAGCCCCAGUAAACGGCGGCCGUAACUAUAACGGUCCUAAGGUAGCGAAAUUCCUUGUCGGGUAAGUUCCGACCUGCACGAAUGGUGUAAUGAUCUGGACGCUGUCUCAACCGUGAGCUCAGUGAAAUUGUAGUAUCGGUGAAGAUGCCGAUUACCCGCGAUGGGACGAAAAGACCCCGUGAACCUUUACUAUAGCUUAACAUUGAAUUUGGGUAAUUGAUGUGUAGGAUAGGCCGGAGGCUUUGAAGCGGGCACGCCAGUGUCCGUGGAGCCGCUGUUGAAAUACGGCCCUUUGAUUAUUUGAGUUCUAACCCGUUGUUGCGGGGACACUGUUUGGUGGGUAGUUUGACUGGGGUGGUCGCCUCCAAAAGUGUAACGGAGGCUUCUAAAGGUGCCCUCACGACGAUUGGUAACCGUCGGCAGAGUGUAAUGGCAUAAGGGCGCUUGACUGGGAGACUAACAAGUCGAUCAGGUAG
rnacentral:rRNA from 1 species